GAGUUUGAUCCUGGCUCAGGAUGAACGCUAGCGGCAGGCCUAACACAUGCAAGUCGAACGGUAACAGCAGAGCUUGCUCUGGCUGACGAGUGGCGCACGGGUGCGUAACGCGUAUACAACCUUUUACAGAGAGAUAGCCUUUAGAAAUGAAGAUUAAUACCUCAUAGUAUGAUAAUAAGGCAUCUUAUUUUAAUUAAAGCUUCGGCGGUAAAAGAUGAGUAUGCGUUCUAUUAGCUAGAUGGUGUGGUAACGGCACACCAUGGCAACGAUAGAUAGGGGCCCUGAGAGGGGGAUCCCCCACACUGGUACUGAGACACGGACCAGACUCCUACGGGAGGCAGCAGUGAGGAAUAUUGGACAAUGGAGGCAACUCUGAUCCAGCCAUGCCGCGUGCAGGAAGACUGCCCUAUGGGUUGUAAACUGCUUUUAUACAGGAAGAAACAUCUCUACGUGUAGAGACUUGACGGUACUGUAAGAAUAAGGAUCGGCUAACUCCGUGCCAGCAGCCGCGGUAAUACGGGGGGUGCAAGCGUUAUUCGGAAUCAUUGGGUUUAAAGGGUCCGUAGGCGGACUAUUAAGUCAGAGGUGAAAUCCCACAGCUUAACUGUGGAACUGCCUUUGAUACUGGUAGUCUUGAGUUAGUGUGAAGUGGUUAGAAUGUGUAGUGUAUCGGUGAAAUGCAUAGAUAUUACACAGCAUACCAAUUGCGAAGGCCGAUCACUAACACUAUAUUGACGCUGAGGGACGAAAGCGUGGGGAGCGAACAGGAUUAGAUACCCUGGUAGUCCACGCCGUAAACGAUGGUUACUAGCUGUUCGGACUUCGGAUUCGUACUGAGUGGCUAAGCGAAAGUGAUAAGUAUCCCACCUGGGGAGUACGUUCGCAAGAAUGAAACUCAAAGGAAUUGACGGGGGCCCGCACAAGCGGUGGAGCAUGUGGUUUAAUUCGAUGAUACGCGAGGAACCUUACCAGGGCUUAAAUGUAGAUUGACAGGGGUGGAGAUAGCUAUUUCUUCGGACUAUCUACAAGGUGCUGCAUGGUUGUCGUCAGCUCGUGCCGUGAGGUGUCAGGUUAAGUCCUAUAACGAGCGCAACCCCUGUUGUUAGUUGCCAGCGAGUCAUGUCGGGAACUCUAACAAGACUGCCGGUGCAAACCGUGAGGAAGGUGGGGAUGACGUCAAAUCAUCACGGCCCUUACGUCCUGGGCCACACACGUGCUACAAUGGCCGGUACAGAAAGCAGCCACUACGUGAGUAGGAGCGAAUCUUCAAAACCGGUCUCAGUUCGGAUCGGAGUCUGCAACUCGACUCCGGGAAGCGGGAAGCGCGAGGAAGCGGAUAUCAGCCAUGAUCCGGUGAAGACGGUCCCGGGCCUUGUACACACCGCCCGUC
rnacentral:rRNA from 1 species